UCCCAGCUAGCAGGAGU
rnacentral:misc_RNA from 1 species